UAGCAUGUUUUAAGCGACCACCUACUCGU
rnacentral:sRNA from 1 species